rnacentral:precursor_RNA from 1 species
AAAAGUUAUUUUUUCUUUUAAAAAAAGAAAAAAAAAGCGCUAAGUCAAGAAGACUCAAGAGGAGAACGAUGGAAAUCCAGAACAGUAAAGCUGCUCGAGGGUGACCAAAGAUGCAGAGCUCCCUUCAAUCCAAAGAGGGUCCAUGUAGGGUUGAUGCAGCUCCUGGGGCAUGCAAGCCAUAAGCCUAUCCCAACGAGUACUCCAUCAUUUUCCUAUCUACACACAUACUAUUAGUAUAAAUUGGAGUAGUUUCUUUCAGAUCUCGAGCUGAAUGAUGAACAUGGAGUAGGCUAACGGGAUCCAUGACCCAGCAGCUCAAUCGACCCACAGCAACACCCCUUUUUGGACCGAAAGGAGCUCAACGUCCACAACACUUUCCAGCAACGACAAGAACAGCUCAACAUAACCAAACGAAUAAGAACAAGAAGCCAUGGAAGAAAAAACAAGCUCAGCACAAUAGGCUAACCCUAACGAAAAGCAUGGAAUCUGCACACAGAUGAUUCUGCGAGAAAACGAGAGAGAAGAAAGAAGAAGAAAAAAAACCCUCCUACUUCCC